rnacentral:tRNA from 1 species
CGGGGCGUAGCGCAGAGGUAGCGCACCUGUCUUGGGCACAGGGGGUCGCUGGUUCAAAUCCAGUCGCCCCGACCA